rnacentral:rRNA from 1 species
UCUCUCCACAAGAUGUUUAUGAGUGAGUAGCCGCCAAGAGAGAGGCACCCGGCACAACCGGGGGUUGAGAUUGGGCCCAAUCUUCUAGGAAGCAGCAGGUGAGAAUAUGCACAUGGCCCAAGCUUGAUGCAGAACGCGCUGCGGGAUGACGCUCCGGGUGUAAUCGCUUCAGUAGGGACGAUGCUACGUGAUGUACUACAGAGACGACCGGCUACUACGUGCCAGCAGCACAGAUGAUACGUAGGGUCCGAGCGUCGUCCUGGAAUUAUUGGGUGUAAAGGGCUUGUAGGCGGUCCGUCGCGUCAGGAGUGAAACUCGGGGCUUAACCCCGAGCCUGCUUUGAUACGGGCGGACUAGAGUGAUGCAGGGAGACCGGAAUUCCUGGUGGAGCGGUGGAAUGCGCAGAUAUCAGGAGGAACACCGGUGGCGAAGGCGGUUCUCUGGGCAUUACCUGACGCUGAGAAGCGAAAGCGUGGGGAGCAAACAGGCUUAGAUAUCCCUGGUAGCCACGCCGUAAACGGGGGGCACUAGGUGUGGGGGACAUUACACGUUCUCCGUGCCGAAGCUAACGCAUUAAGUGCCCCGCCUGGGGAGUACGGCCGCAAGGCUAAAACUCAAAGGAAUUGACGGGGGCCCGCACAAGCGGCGGAGCAUGCGGAUUAAUUCGAUGCAACGCGAAGAACCUUACCUGGGUUUGACAUACACCGGAAAGCUGCAGAGAUGUAGCCCCCGCAAGGUCGGUGUACAGGUGGUGCAUGGCUGUCGUCAGCUCGUGUCGUGAGAUGUUGGGUUAAGUCCCGCAACGAGCGCAACCCUCGUCCUAUGUUGCCAGCACGUCAUGGUGGGGACUCAUAGGAGACUGCCGGGGUCAACUCGGAGGAAGGUGGGGAUGACGUCAAGUCAUCAUGCCCCUUAAGUCCAGGGCUUCACGCAUGCUACAAUGGCCGGUACAAAGGGCUGCGAUACCGCAAGGUGGAGCGAAUCCCAAAAAGCCGGUCUCAGUUCGGAUUGGGGUCUGCAACUCGACCCCAUGAAGUCGGAGUCGCUAGUAAUCGCAGAUCAGCAACGCUGCGGUGAAUACGUUCCCGGGCCUUGUACACACCGCCCGUCAAGUCAUGAAAGUCGGUAACACCCGAAGCCGGUGGCCCAACCCUUGUGGAGGGAGCCGUCUAAGGUGGUCUGCGAUGUCCU